rnacentral:rRNA from 1 species
UACGUAGGGGGCUAGCGUUGUCCGGAAUCAUUGGGCGUAAAGAGCGUGUAGGCGGCCCGGUAAGUCCGCUGUGAAAGUCGAGGGCUCAACCCUCGAAUGCCGGUGGAUACUGUCGGGCUAGAGUGCGGAAGAGGCGAGUGGAAUUCCUGGUGUAGCGGUGAAAUGCGCAGAUAUCAGGAGGAACACCAAUGGCGAAGGCAGCUCACUGGGACGGUACUGACGCUGAGACGCGAAAGCGUGGGGAGCAAACAGG